UCAGUUCGGAUCGCAGGCUGCAACCCGCCUGCGUGAAGUCGGAAUCGCUAGUAAUCGCGGAUCAGCAUGCCGCGGUGAAUACGUUCCCGGGCCUUGUACACACCGCCCGUCACACCAUGAGAGUCGGGAACACCCGAAGCCCGUAGCCUAACUUGCAAGAGAGGGCGCGGUCGAAGGUGGGUUCGAUAAUUGGGGUGAAGUCGUAACAAGGUAAC
rnacentral:rRNA from 1 species